GAUGAAGAACGCAGCGAAAUGCGAUAAGUAAUGUGAAUUGCAGAAUUCAGUGAAUCAUCGAAUCUUUGAACGCACAUUGCGCCCCCUGGUAUUCCGGGGGGCAUGCCUGUUCGAGCGUCAUUUCACCACUCAAGCCUCGCUUGGUAUUGGGCAACGCGGUCCGCCGCGUGCCUCAAAUCGACCGGCUGGGUCUUCUGUCCCUAAGCGUUGUGGAAACUAUUCGCUAAAGGGUGUUCGGGAGGCUACGCCGUAAAACAACCCCAUUUCUAAGGUUGACCUCGGAUCAGGUAGGGAUACCCGCUGAACUUAAGCAUAUCAAUAAGCGGAGGA
rnacentral:misc_RNA from 1 species